rnacentral:rRNA from 1 species
GACAGAGGGGGCAAGCGUUGCUCGGAAUUACUGGGCGUAAAGGGCGCGUAGGCGGAAUGGCAAGUCGGUCGUGAAAUCCUUCGGUUCAACCGAAGAACGUCGAUCGAAACUGCCGUUCUUGAGGAUUGCAGAGGAGACUGGAAUUCCCGGUGUAGCGGUGAAAUGUGUAGAGAUCGGGAGGAACACCGGUGGCGAAGGCGGGUCUCUGGGCAAUUCCUGACGCUGAGGCGCGAAAGCGUGGGGAGCAAACGGG